rnacentral:rRNA from 1 species
AAACUUCACAAUGGAGGCAACUCCGAUGAGGGAAUUCCAAGUGCUAGCACAUUAGUGUUAGCUUUUCUUAAGCAUAGAUAACUUAAGGAAUAAGGGCUGGGUAAGACGGGCGCCAGCCGCCGCGGUAAUACCCGCAGCCCAAGUGGUGGUCGAUUUUAUUGAGUCUAAAACGUUCGUAGCCGGUUCAUUAAAUCCUUGGGUAAAUCGGAUGGCUUAACUACCCGAAUUCCGGGGAGACUGGUGAACUUGGGACCGGGAGAGGCAAGAGGUACUUUUGGGGUAGGGGUAAAUCCUGUAAUCCUAAAAGGACCACCGGUGGCGAAGGCGUCUUGCUAGAACGGAUCCGACGGUGAGGGACGAAGCCCUGGGUCGCAAACGGGAUUAGAUACCCCGGCAGUCCAGGGUGUAAACGCUGCAGACUUGGUGUUGGGGACCCUUUGGGGUGUUCAGUGCCGGAGAGAAGUUGUUAAGUCUGCUACUUGGGGAGUACGUCCGCAAGGAUGAAACUUAAAGGAAUU